AGUUUUUCUGUUUCUAUUUCCAACACCAUGCUUCUGUGUCUUAUAUUAGUUACGUCCACAGAGAUGUGAAGCCUAAAAAUUUUCUACAGGAUCAGAGAACUUGCUCAGAUACCAUGUUGACUGCAGACAAUUUUAAGUGAUAGAAUGCAAGAUAUGAUAUUUAUAAACCUCUAGUACCAAAUGCAGGAAGAAUCUAGAAUAGCUAGGAGGAUUGGAGAGAUCCAGAAAGCAAUAUAGUUGCAAGUUUGCCAUCACAAAAGAAUUACAGGAAUGCCAUUACAAAUCAUCCCUCAACAAGUACAGCUUUGUCUGUUAAUAUGCAUGGGCCAUCUAACUGGAGUAAAAAGCGAAUCCAUUUUCACGACUUCAUGUUGGGUGUCCAUAGUCGCCUUCAAUCAAUCAGAAUGCAUCAUUAACAUGAGAGAUGCAUCAGAGUAGACUUCCUUUUUCUCUAUCCAGGGUCCGUGUACACUGGAGUAGACUUCUACAAGAAGUUGUGUCGAGUAUCCAUUAUUCAAAGGUGAGCUUUUAUGCAAGUAUUGAAUUUGGAUUUUUGGCAUUAAAAACUAAUCGAGUAUUUUGAGAUAAAUAUGAGAUUUUGUUUCAAAUAGGAAUGCAGUCACUUGAUAUCAAUAUUCAGCCCCUUGACUUUAUAAUGACAUAUUGAAAUAUGAAUAUAUGUGACUAUUUCA